GAGCUUUUCACCUAAAGUGCUUUGCAGUUCUCAGUAUUCAUGUGAAAUCUUGGGUAAAUCUAUUAUAUUCAGCUGAACUGAGUCCUGUUUACCUUAUGCAGGGAUUAUUUCAUCAGCUCCUGAAAUGCAAAACCUCCUGUGGCAAGAGAGGAAAGGCAGUCUUGUGACUGCGGCUCUGACCUGAAGGACAUGCUGUCUCCAAGUAUGAUUUCAUUCAGGUAGUGGGAGCAAGAGCUGCAGUAAAACACAAAAAGAUUUGCCUUAGGCAGACAGGGCAGAAGCCAGAGCACAAAAUCCUAAGAUGCAAAAUGAACAUACCAAAAUCAACCUCAAGAGAGGUCUGCAGAAAUCCAAGAGUCAACUCCGAGAUCUACCUGCUUCCUGUGCAUGUGAACUCCCGCAUACAAAGGUAUGUCAGGGGACAGCCUAGCUGGAU
rnacentral:lncRNA from 1 species